GCGCCUCAGGGCCAGAAUGCAGCAGCGGGAAGGCGGCGGUGGCGUUGGGAGGC
rnacentral:SRP_RNA from 1 species